GAAAAAAGUACUGCUUAUCCCAAAAAUCACUCAUAUAUAUUUGGUAAUGAUUGUAGAUAUGAACUCUUCUAGCCUCUGUCUGAGCUGUGGAAACAGUACAUUGUGAAUCUGUGUAAUGGAUUGAAACCAGGAAGCGACCCACAGAUGAUCCAGCAGAAGCUCUUGAAAGCAGAUUUCCACAGUGCUGUCUUAACAGUUGUCAGAUCAAAAUGCCCUUCGUAUGUUAAACUGAAGCACGUCUUCAAAAUCAUUACAGAAGAGGACAAACUGAAAGGUAUAUGUGUAAAUAUACAUUAUUUUACAGGUUCACGUCAUUUCACUAUUAUGUCAGUACUCAAAGAUGCCAUACCAAGCUGUUGUCCAUUAGUCUAAAGGAAGGUGGAGUCCAAAACAAAUUAAAUAUAACAAAUUUGCAGUUAACUAUAAAGGUUUUACUGUGGCUAUAUGGUAAUCAAGUCAAAAAACAUUAUGUAAAACUUUAUUCUUUUAUCAUUUUCCAGACUAGGGGUUUCACAA